rnacentral:lncRNA from 1 species
GCCAGCGAUUACGAGGUCGGAAAGGACGGCGGCGGGUUCUUCUAUUACGGCGGGCCUCAGGGUUGCAACCACUAGAAUGUCGUUGAGAUUAUGCGAGGGGUCACUCGAGACCAACAGUAGUCAUCAUGGGUGUUGAGACUAAGUGAAUGAUUUAUAUUUACACUUUAUCGAUCCCUCUGUACCUAAAUAAUUAUUAUUGAGGAAAAUCAGUCUAGUUUUUUUAACAACAAUUAUUUAGAUACACAUAGUAGCAAAUAUGUAUAUGGGUUACAACGAGAAAAAUAAUAAUCACUACAGGAA